GACGAACGCUGGCGGCGUGCUUUACACAUGCAAGUCGAACGGAAACGCCCUGCUUUUUUGUGAUGCUCGAGUGGCGAACGGGUGAGUAACACGUGAGUAACCUGCCCUUGACUUUGGGAUAACUUCAGGAAACUGGGUCUAAUACCGGAUAUGAGCUCCUGCUCCAUGGUGCGGGUUGGAAAGUUUCGGCGGUUGGGGUUGGACUCGCGGCUUAUCAGCUUGUUGGUGGGGUAGUGGUUUACCAAGGCUUUGACGGUUACCCGGCCUGAGAGGGUGACCGGGGACAUUGGGACUGAGAUACGGACCAGACUCCUACGGGAGGCAGCAGUGGGGAAUAUGGCACAAUGGGGGGAAGCCUGAUGCAGCAACGCCGCGUGCGGGAAGAGGGCCUGCGGGUUGUAAACCGCUUUCGCCUGUGACGAAGCGUGAGUGACGGUAAUGGGUAAAGAAGCACAGGCUAACUACGGG
rnacentral:rRNA from 1 species